rnacentral:rRNA from 1 species
UACGUAGGGCGCAAGCGUUGUCCGGAAUUAUUGGGCGUAAAGAGCUCGUAGGCGGCUUGUCACGUCGGAUGUGAAAGCCCGGGGCUUAACCCCGGGUCUGCAUUCGAUACGGGCUAGCUAGAGUGUGGUAGGGGAGAUCGGAAUUCCUGGUGUAGCGGUGAAAUGCGCAGAUAUCUGGAGGAACACCGGUGGCGAAGGCGGCAUCCUGGACCGAUACUGACGCUGAGGAGCGAAAGCCAGGGGAGCAAACAGG